UACGAAGGGAGCUAGCGUUGUUCGGAAUCACUGGGCGUAAAGCGCACGUAGGCGGAUUUGUCAGUCAGGGGUGAAAUCCCGGGGCUCAACCUCGGAACUGCCUUUGAUACAGCAAGUCUUGAGUUCGAGAGAGGUGGGUGGAAUUCCUAGUGUAGAGGUGAAAUUCGUAGAUAUUCGGAGGAACACCAGUGGCGAAGGCGGCUCACUGGUCCAUUACUGACGCUGAGGUGCGAAAGCGUGGGGAGCAAACAGG
rnacentral:rRNA from 1 species